rnacentral:rRNA from 1 species
GAGUUUGAUCCUGGCUCAGAUUGAACGCUGGCGGCAUGCUUUACACAUGCAAGUCGGACGGCAGCACAGAGAAGCUUGCUUCUUGGGUGGCGAGUGGCGAACGGGUGAGUAAUGCAUCGGAACGUACCGAGUAGUGGGGGAUAACUGUCCGAAAGGAUGGCUAAUACCGCAUACGCUUUGAGAAGGAAAGCAGGGGCUCUUCGGACCUUGCGCUAUUCGAGCGGCCGAUGUCUGAUUAGCUAGUUGGUGGGGUAAAGGCCUACCAAGGCGACGAUCAGUAGCGGGUCUGAGAGGAUGAUCCGCCACACUGGGACUGAGACACGGCCCAGACUCCUACGGGAGGCAGCAGUGGGGAAUUUUGGACAAUGGGCGCAAGCCUGAUCCAGCCAUGCCGCGUGUCUGAAGAAGGCCUUCGGGUUGUAAAGGACUUUUGUCAGGGAAGAAAAGGUUGUGGUUAAUACCCAUGACU